GAUGAACGCUGGCGGCGUGCCUAAUACAUGCAAGUCGAGCGAAUGGAUUAAGAGCUUGCUCUUAUGAAGUUAGCGGCGGACGGGUGAGUAACACGUGGGUAACCUGCCCAUAAGACUGGGAUAACUCCGGGAACCGGGGCUAAUACCGGAUAACAUUUUGAACCGCAUGGUUCGAAAUUGAAAGGCGGCUUCGGCUGUCACUUAUGGAUGGACCCGCGUCGCAUUAGCUAGUUGGUGAGGUAACGGCUCACCAAGGCAACGAUGCGUAGCCGACCUGAGAGGGUGAUCGGCCACACUGGGACGGAGACACGGCCCAGACUCCUACGGGAGGCAUCAGUAGGGAAUCUUCCGCAAUGGACGAAAGUCUGACGGAGCAACGCCGCGUGAGUGAUGAAGGCUUUCGGGUCGUAAAACUCUGUUGUUAGGGAAGAACAAGUGCUAGUUGAAUAAGCUGGCACCUUGACGGUACCUAACCAGAAAGCCACGGCUAACUACGUGCCAGCCGCCGCAGUAA
rnacentral:rRNA from 1 species